AGUGAACGCUGGCGGUAGGCCUAACACAUGCAAGUCGAACGGCAGCACAGUAAGAGCUUGCUCUUACGGGUGGCGAGUGGCGGACGGGUGAGGAAUACAUCGGAAUCUACUUUUUCGUGGGGGAUAACGUAGGGAAACUUACGCUAAUACCGCAUACGACCUACGGGUGAAAGCAGGGGAUCUUCGGACCUUGCGCGAUUGAAUGAGCCGAUGUCGGAUUAGCUAGUUGGCGGGGUAAAGGCCCACCAAGGCGACGAUCCGUAGCUGGUCUGAGAGGAUGAUCACCACCAUGGAAAUUGAGACAGGGCCAGACUCCUACGGGAGGCAGCAGUGGGGAAUAUUGGACAAUGGGCGCAAGCCUGAUCCAGCCAUACCGCGUGGGUGAAGAAGGCCUUCGGGUUGUAAAGCCCUUUUGUUGGGAAAGAAAAGCAGCAGGUUAAUACCCCGCUGUUCUGACGGUACCCAAAGAAUAAGCACCGGCUAACUUCGUG
rnacentral:rRNA from 1 species